rnacentral:rRNA from 1 species
CAGCCGCCGCGGUAAUACGAAGGGGGCUAGCGUUGUUCGGAAUUACUGGGCGUAAAGCGCACGUAGGCGGAUAUUUAAGUCAGGGGUGAAAUCCCAGAGCUCAACUCUGGAACUGCCUUUGAUACUGGGUAUCUUGAGUAUGGAAGAGGUGAGUGGAAUUCCGAGUGUAGAGGUGAAAUUCGUAGAUAUUCGGAGGAACACCAGUGGCGAAGGCGGCUCACUGGUCCAUUACUGACGCUGAGGUGCGAAAGCGUGGGGAGCAAACAGGAUUAGAUACCCCAGUAGUCCCUGUCUCUUAUAC